rnacentral:piRNA from 1 species
AAAUUUAUGGGCAUCAAAAGGAUAGUA